rnacentral:rRNA from 1 species
AGAUUGAACGCUGGCGGCAUGGCUAAAACAUGCAAGUCGAGCGCGAAAGGGAGCAAUCCCAAGUAGAGCGGCGAAAGGGUGAGUAAUACGUUCCUACGUACCUGAAGGUCGGGGAUAGCCAGGGGAAACUCUGGGUAAUACCCGAUGUGAUCGAGAGAUCAAAGGCUUGCCGCCUUCAGAGCGGGGAACGUCCUAUCAGGUAGUUGGUGAGGUAAAGGCUCACCAAGCCUUUGACGGGUAGCGGGUGUGAGAGCAUGGCCCGCCACAUCGAAACUGAGACACUGUUCGGACUCCUACGGGAGCUGCAGUAACGAAUCUUCCGCAAUGCGCGAAAGCGUGACGGAGCAAUGCCG